AGGAAAGCCAGGUUUGUGGCCCCAUUGCACUGAAAAUUCUUUUCUGCUGCAGGCCUGCCAUCAGAUAUGGUUUUCUCAGGCCAGCAGUCUGGAUGUGAAUACCAGUGCAGGUGCAGUUAGUGCUUGGUUGCCUUCAAGUUUCACAACCUGUGCUAAUAAGUGGUUAACCUUGCUGAUCUCCAAGUAGGAGCAGUGCAAGAGGGAAUGAAGUUUGAACUGGGGUGGGUGGGAUAGAGAGAGCUCCACAAUGCAAUAUUCAAGGCUAUCUCCUCUUUUAUUUUUACCUAAUAUUUAAGAGCCUGUCCCUAGACAAUGAAUUAUCUCAUUAUUGAGUUACUGUGUUUUUCUUCAAGACAUGAUCCAAACAAAUCUGCUCUUUCAAACUCAAAGAAGUGUUAUUCGACUGCCUAAACAGCCUGAAGGUGGACAAGAUGGAAGCCAAAACACGACUCUCUUGCAUCCUGUCUAUCCUCCACAGUGGGACAAAACUGCUCUACCUGACAUCGGGUUUAAGGUAGGACUUUCCAGCUCCCCAGUGGAUGGGGAGACCUCUGUCCUGCACUGAUUUUUCCAAGACCAUAAUUCAAGGCAGUUGAGAUGUUACCAGCUUUUAAAAAUGUAUCUUGUAAAAUAAGCAACUAUGAUGUGAAACAUGACCAAUAGUUUAAUAUUCAGAAUAGACAUGCGUUUCCUGGGAGGCUCACUGAGAUCCCCUAUGAUGCCAUACAGGGUAAAAAAGGCCAUUGCUGCUCAUACCUGUCCUUUGCACUCUCUCAAGGCACUUCAUCCUCUGACAAAGCAGAUUAAUUGCAUCUGAAGGGGGCAUUUCUUCUCUCAGUUUGGGGCAGGAUGUUACUUGCUGUAGUAAAACUGCAGCUUAGCCCUGUAGGGAAGGAGCUAGAGUGUCAGGUGAAGCUUUCUCUCUGCUUCAGCCUGAAUAUUGCUGUGUGUUUCAACUUCAGUUUACUCUGAACUAAAAGUAGUCCAGCUGUGGAGGUGUGUCCUCUAAAGGAAGCUCUCAUGGGAUUGCACUGAUUUCCCUCAGUCGGCGCCUGGGCUUCCCCAUGGGGAGUGAUGGUAAAGGAGGGUUAACAGGGAAACCAGGAGCAGCUUGUGAUUUUUCUGGUAGGGCUUUUCAGCAGAUGUGAGAAGGUUGAUGAGUCCUUUGGAAGGACUGGGAGUUUAUACUCUUACUAAUACCUUAUUUUUAAUGUUUUAAAAAUUUUCAGUUGAUACAGCUCAGUUACGAUUCCCAAGAAUAUAGAAAAAUCAAGAGUCUAUUUGAGAAGACAAUGAAAAAUUACUGCAUCAACCAACUCCAGAGGAUCCAGAACCCAACACUUUGGGACAUUUUUCAGUGGUUUGUAUCUAUUUUAUUUCAUUAUCCUUACUGUAUGAGAAGACUGGUAUUUCCUGAUCAGUUGUCCUCCAUAGACUACAUUUGGAGCCGCCAAAUUCAGCAGUCCAGC
rnacentral:lncRNA from 1 species